UGAACAGAUGGAAAUAUAUAGAAAUAUUUGACAAAGCCAGAGGGCCUAAGCAGAAAUGACAUGUAUGGCAGCCGGCUGCACUC
rnacentral:ncRNA from 1 species